rnacentral:rRNA from 1 species
UACGUAGGGUGCGAGCGUUAAUCGGAAUUACUGGGCGUAAAGCGUGCGCAGGCGGUUUUGUAAGCCAGAUGUGAAAUCCCCGGGCUUAACCUGGGAAUGGCAUUUGGGACUGCAAGGCUUGAGUGCGGCAGAGGAGACUGGAAUUCCCGGUGUAGCAGUGAAAUGCGUAGAGAUCGGGAGGAACAUCAGUUGCGAAGGCGGCUCUCUGGACCAGCACUGACACUGAGGCACGAAAGCGUGGGGAGCAAACAGG